GGGCCGGUAACUCAGUGGUAGAGUGUAGGACUGCAGUUAACCCCAAAAACCGCCUUCCCGAAGCCACCGGUUCGACUCCGGUUCGGCCCU